ensembl:lncRNA
CCCCCGGCCGCUCACCCUCUCCCCCACGGCCCGGAGCAGGGGCUCUGAGGGGAKGGACAGGCUGGCUCCCACGACGACGAGCCCCCCUCCGCCCUUACCGGCUCCGCGGGACCCCCGGUACCGACGGGGAGGGGUGGGGGGGUGCCGGAGCCUCACUCUCCUGCUCCGCCUCCCCCGGCGCACCCGAGCGGGGGCACCCGCCGCUACUUCCGCGUGCUGCGCACGCGCCGGCCACGUGACGGCGGGGAGGAGCGCGGGCGGGGCGGAAGGCGGGCGGCCGCCAUAGCUGCCGAGGCGGAAGGAGCGGGCCGAGGCGCCAUUGCUACCGAGGCAAAACGGGGAGUCACGUGAGCGCGCGGCGGGGAGGUUGCCUGGGGCCGGGGGAGCCGCCACGGCCGCCCCUCCGCUCCCCGGGCAGCGACCCCCCAGCCAGGCGUCACGGCCCUGCGGCUGUGCCGCUUUACCSUGCCUCCCGCCCCCGCGCUGCCUGGCCCAGGGCUAAGGGGGACCCGUUGCUGCCACCCAGUGGAGGAUAUUUUAUUUAUUUUAUUUUGGGUGUAYGUGAGAAAUCCUAUUGGUUUAAGUAAAAGUGCCGGUGAGCGAAAAGCACGCCGUUCCAGUUUGAGAGGACGCUCGGAGGGGCUGGCUAAGAUAAGCGGCCUGGCGUUGUCAGUGACCCAAACGCACGAGGCAGCAGAUAACAAACCUUUGUUCGCAGCAGCGCACAAACAACAUUUGUCCAAGAUGACGCUGUUGUUCUCUCCAGGCUUUCAUAAUUCGUGACUGCAAGACAAACAACUUUUAUCAAUGCCUGUCAGUACGCCCUUGAAUCCAACCUGCUAUUCCUGUCUGACUGUCUCAAAAAAAGCUCCCAAAAGAAUUCAGUGGUGGAUUUAAUACAGAUUAACAUUGGAUUGGCAGCUGCCUGGCUGUAGGUGGUGCUGACUGCAGGUGGUGCUGUUAAACCUGUAUUUUACAAGGAUUAAAAUCCAUCCAGACUGUGGCAGAAAUUAAAAUAUUCAAUGUUCAUAUUAUAUGCAGGCAAGCAGUACAGAGUGGAAUCCCUGCUGUUAGCAUGGUCUAAAGGUAUUCACUGUGCGGCAGCUCGGGUUAGUAGAUGAGACCAUCAGGUAAUGUAUUCUCAUCUCUGAGCUAUUACCCAAAAAGGCAGCUGGGAUCAAUUAGCUGCACUUUGUCAGUAUGUGACAGAUGAAAGCUGAAGGAGUGUGGAAAGAAGGAAACACACCCACAGAUGCUUGUCAGCAGUAGGUGUGUUUUCCCUGAGGUAUGUCUAAAGCAUGCAUUUGACUGCUUGGCUUUAUGCAUAUUUGUGAUUGCAGAUCUGACGGGAGAUCAGCCCAUGAUAGCAGGCAUUAUUUUCAUCUCUCAAAGUUGUUCUAAUUUUUAAUAUUUUCAGUUGCUGUUUCAGUUUGCUGCUUAUGAAAGGCUUAUUUAUUAUUUCGGAGAUCGAUGGGAAAUAUUUCCCACGUAUUACCUGGUGUUUAGAAUCUGGAAGCAAAAAAUAAUUGUUUCACAUUUCAAAAGUUCCUCUCCAAUCGGUUGUCUGUUUAGUCCCUGCUGGGUCUUCGCCGGGCUUUGUGUCUCCCAAAUCCUACCGCUGUAGGUGCUGGUUGCACAUGUGGUGGAGUUGGCCUUAGCAACACAGGGCGAGAGCUGAGCACUGAGUGCAGGGGCUUGCUGCGAUCUCUGAUUAAUUCUUUCUCCUGAUGAGUCGCACCGCUGUAUGAGCGCUUUAUAAAUUAAGCAUAAUGCAGCCUGGAGUGUUAGCUUUACGUUCUCCUGUUUGGGAGUCCAGGACUAUGCAGACGUGGGAAUAACGCUGUGUAAAAAUAAACACAUGUCACAGAUGCUGGGAAGGAAAUUG